UUUGGGUUUCAGCAGAGGAUACUCAUAGGUUAACACUGCUGACUGAUGUCACUAUGCAGGUCUGUAAUUGUCGCAGUCUCCUGGUACUUGGGCUUCAUUCGAAUCUAGUUUUUCAAAUGGAGAAAGCUCCGUUUCCAAGCUCCUUGGGUUGUAACAUUUCAUCUUAGGAUGGCCAUGAAAUUCAUGUUUAUGAAGCCAUCACUGAAGGUCAUGUCUGCUGCCUGGUGAUGAAAUUAUUUGCCAGAUUGUAUAAAAACAAAACAAAAAACGAUUUAAGCCACUCAAGUACUAACAGCUGUUUUGCUGGGCCAGCUAUCAGGUCAGGGCUGAAAAAGACACAGCAGCAACCUUGAAGCCUUUGUAGACGCUGGAUUCAAGAACAGUGAGCAACAGGACCCGAGCACCUGGCUACUGGGCAAGGUGGGGGAGGAGCCAAGGAAGGAAGAGGGCGGACAUGAUGGAGAACCAUGCAGAAGCUGAGGGAGAGAGGAGCACUCAGAAGACGGGCAUAGAAGUCCUCGGGCUGUGGGAAGUCAGAUGAGGAGAUGUGAGGAAGCCUGAGGAUGGUUCCAUUCAUUGUUCCUGGGCCUCAAGAACUGAGAUUUGAGAACUACAUAGCAGGCCAUGAGUCCCAGCUACUUAGGAAGCUGAAGCUGGGCCACAGCGAUACCAGUCCAAGUGGCAGAAAGUUCCUGAAAAUAAAGGUAGGUGCUCAUGCCUUCCAGGCUGAUUGGACCGGGGUCACCAGAAUUGAGUCGGGAUAUUAUUUUGUGCUUAGAUCCUUUCAUGCCUUUGCUUCUGUCGUUGAGUGAGUCGAUGGGUUGGUUGUUCCCAAGCUUCCUUGCCACAUAAUAACUGCAGCGGAAGUUAACAUUUCUGCUUUAUAGUUGUGAUAGUAUGCAAGCAACUGCUUAGAAGCACAGGCAAAUAAGUGCAACAAAGGAUUUUCCCAGCUUCAAUAGCUUCCCUAAAAUACAAACAUUUCUCUGACUAGGCAUAUUUCCAGUCACUAGAAGUCAUGCAGAUUUCAUAUAUAUACGUGUGUGUGUGUGUGUGUAUAUAUAUGUAUAUGUGUAUAUAUGUGUGUAUCAGCUGCUUUUCUUUACCUACUCCUUUAAGCAUGUAAGAGUGUGUGGGGCAGGUUUUCUUUCAGCAGUCCACUGCAGAUUUUAAAUGCGAUCCUUUAUUUUCUACAUAAGUCCUAGACAGACUUCAUACCUUGACCAUCUCAAGCAAGCCAGGCUUCCAAGUAACUUCCAGAACAUUAUGUGCUCCAUGCCAGUGGGUUGAGCACAUUCUAUCCGUUCGUCUAUUUACUGUUCAAGGUUUGCAGCCUCUCCAGACCACUUCUGCGUGUGUGUGUGUGUGUGUGUCUGUGUGUGUGUGUGUGUGUGUGUCUGUGUGUGUGUGUGUGUGUGUCUGUGUGUGUGUGUGUCACUGUGGUAGACCCAUGGGGAUACAUCCCAAGACCUCCAGUGGAUGUCUGAAGCCCAGAAGAGAAUGGAAUCUAUUCAGUGUAUCAGUUAUCUCAAAGAAAGGUGUUCUAGAACCCAAAUGGGUAUCAAAAUCCAUAGAUAUUUAGGAUUCAAUUCUAAAGUGGCACAGCAUUUGCAUUGGCUGACAUACAUUCUCCAGUAGACUUUAUUUUUAAAUAAUAUUACUUUUUGAAAUUAUAAUUACCUCACUUCUCCCUUUGUUGUUGCGGUUCAUUGGUUCCAUAGCUGGACAGGAAUAUUGAGUGUUUUCCUCCCUUGGAAGCUUGCAUGGAACCUUCUAGUACUAUGAAAGCCAGUCAUCAGGGAGAGGCUUUCAUCUCACAACCAGCUCAGGUCCUCUGGUCUUGCAUCCAAGAUGCAAGCUGUCUUCUGCAGUAGGGACUUACCUUCUACUGGGAGGCAACCAAGGACAACAACAACAAUAGCCUGUAAUGUUUUGGGAGUCUCUCAGCUCUGACCAAAAACUCAAAAGGAUGCUUCCCACGCCCGGUGUUGGGGUUUUUGUUAUACAGUCUGUCGCUCUUGGGGGUAGCAUUGUCAUUUGUAAUGUAUAUGCACAUUUAUUAUAUGUAAUUUUGUGGGAAUGAAUAAUAAUUUGUCAUAAUUUGACUCCUU
rnacentral:lncRNA from 1 species